AAAAAAAUACUCCAUUUUCUUCUAAUUUCUCAACCCUCUGAGGGCUGCAAGCUAGGAAUAAACUCCUGAGAAUUUCUAUUGGCCAGACUAGAAUUAGACUCCCUACAGCUUCCUUUCACAUUCCCUCCCACCUUAGCUGAAGCACGGCAAAGCCUGUCACCUCACUGCCAGGGUAGCCCACAGCUAAUAAUCUGUGGGUGAGAUCAAGUCCCAGCUGCUAGUUGUACCUUGCU
rnacentral:lncRNA from 1 species